rnacentral:rRNA from 1 species
GGAUUAGAUACCCUGGUAGUCCACGCCGUAAACGCUGUCUACUAGCUGUAUGCGGAUUCAUUUCUGUGUGUAGCGAAGCUAACGCGCUAAGUAGACCGCCUGGGGAGUACGGCCGCAAGGUUAAAACUCAAAUGAAUUGACGGGGGCCCGCACAAGCGGUGGAGCAUGUGGUUUAAUUCGAUGCAACGCGAAGAACCUUACCUACACUUGACAUGCAGAGAACUUUCCAGAGAUGGAUUGGUGCCUUCGGGAACUCUGACACAGGUGCUGCAUGGCUGUCGUCAGCUCGUGCCG